rnacentral:rRNA from 1 species
ACACAUGCAAGUCGAGGGGCAGCAUGAACUUAGCUUGCUAAGUUUGAUGGCGACCGGCGCACGGGUGAGUAACACGUAUCCAACCUGCCGAUGACUCGGGGAUAGCCUUUCGAAAGAAAGAUUAAUACCCGAUGGCAUAGUUCUUCCGCAUGGUAGAACUAUUAAAGAAUUUCGGUCAUCGAUGGGGAUGCGUUCCAUUAGGUUGUUGGCGGGGUAACGGCCCACCAAGCCUUCGAUGGAUAGGGGUUCUGAGAGGAAGGUCCCCCACAUUGGAACUGAGACACGGUCCAAACUCCUACGGGAGGCAGCAGUGAGGAAUAUUGGUCAAUGGACGAGAGUCUGAACCAGCCAAGUAGCGUGAAGGAUGACUGCCCUAUGGGUUGUAAACUUCUUUUAUACGGGAAUAAAGUGAGGCGCGUGUGCCUUUUUGUAUGUACCGUAUGAAUAAGGAUCGGCUAACUCCGUGCCAGCAGCCGCGGUAAUACGGAGGAUCCGAGCGUUAUCCGGAUUUAUUGGGUUUAAAGGGAGCGUAGGCGGACGCUUAAGUCAGUUGUGAAAGUUUGCGGCUCAACCGUAAAAUUGCAGUUGAUACUGGGUGUCUUGAGUACAGUAGAGGCAGGCGGAAUUCGUGGUGUAGCGGUGAAAUGCUUAGAUAUCACGAAGAACUCCGAUUGCGAAGGCAGCCUGCUGGACUGUAACUGACGCUGAUGCUCGAAAGUGUGGGUAUCAAACAGGAUUAGAUACCCUGGUAGUCCACACAGUAAACGAUGAAUACUCGCUGUUUGCGAUAUACAGUAAGCGGCCAAGCGAAAGCGUUAAGUAUUCCACCUGGGG